GGUGAGAUGGCCGAGCGGUCUAAGGCGCCAGACUAAGGACUUGUCAGUCAUCUGGUCUCUUCGGGGGCGGGAGUUCGAAUCUCCCUCUCAUCA